CUUGCUCCAAUCUUAGAAAGGUUAGUGACAAGAAUACCCGAAGGAAUAUUUUUUUUUACAAUUAUCCUUAUAUCCUCAAUACACAAGGUAAUGUUGCAAAUAAUUAAAGGCUCAUAUACGAUCUGAUCAAUGCUUAUUUUAAGACACUAAGCUUGCCCUUGGGAAACCAUCAGUUUAUGUUGGCGAAGUGGUUUCCCCUCCGACGCCAACCUAUAUCUAGAUCAACUCAACGAGAUCUGCAAUAUUUAUUAUAGACAUAUGCAUCGACAACCGCCCUUUUAAAGUUUUUAUAAAUAGAAAGGAAGAGGGGGUUGGAGAUCUCAAAUGUGGUGAUGUUGGAGAGACCAAU
rnacentral:lncRNA from 1 species